UGUGCGAACAGAUGUUUUCAAUAAUGAAUUUAAACAAGACCAAGACCAGAUCGCGCAUUACUGACGAAAACCUACACGCCAUUUUGCGCACAGCACAAGAACUAAAACCGGACAUGGACGAACUGACCAGGGGAAAACGGUGCCAGACAUCCGGCCAGAAAACAUUGAACACAACACAAUGAGGAUGUGUGUGAGUUGGUGACAGGGUGAAGAGGGAUCCGCUUUGUGUUCAAGGACCGGAAACAUCUCCUCAUAGUUUUGUUCUUAUGUGAAAUACAUGUUUGUUGUGUAAUAAAUAACGAACAAGUUUUGUGAAUGAA